UUAGUCAAAAUGAUGUUGGUGACAGAGCUACGUGAGGUUAUUGAGGAUAGGAGGAUCAGUGGUCUUUCUCUCUUGUGAGGAGCAGGUUGAACAGUCAGAACUCUGUGGCUGCUGGCAGGUGGAUACUGACUCCUGGGGAAGGAUCUGGCUUCUGGAGGUGGACCCCAUGAGGCACCAGUACAGGCUUAAAAGAGAGGAGCUGCACUGCCUAUUACCAGCCUUGAAGACUUUGUUCAGGAUCUGCACAGCCCAGUGGAGAUAGUGUGGAGAUAUUGCUUGCUGCUGUCUAGAAUGAAGGCUUAGAAUGAAGACUGCUUGCCUGUUUUUCUUCAUAUGGGCCUUGGACAGAAAUGAGGAAAGGAAAAACAAUUUCACAGAUGAAUCUGCUCAACUGAUCAGGGAGAAAGCCUUAAGGAAGACAACUGAGGAAGCUUAUUGGAAAGCUGCAUGGUGAUCUCCUCGUGGUAUCUGAGCACAGCUUUUAUAUAAUUAGAAAUCUGCCGCUGCAUGGUCCCCUCCAGAUGUAGGCAAGGAAAAAGAGAUGGUGGUGUGACUGAACAACACUCAUGCUGCUGUGGAAGACUGCUCAGAUGAGUUUUUUAGGCUUUGUUCUUUGAGGCACUGCUGACUUGCGUGUUAGGAUUUCUAAAAAAAAGCUGCAUCUUACCUUGGGAACACAGCUCUUUCAGCUGACUCAGAACCUGCAACUAAGUGGAGCCCAGAGGACCAGUGCUAGCCCUUCCAGGACUUCAUAAACAGACACAUCUCCAGGCUCUGCCUUGCAGCUGGCUGACUCACAGUCCUCCUUACAAAGAGCACCUGCCGACCUGAGUGGCUGCUCUGAGACUUUUCAUCCAACACGGAAAACUACAGAACAGAGUCAUAAGCAGUGCAGAAAAUAUGCAGUGGAGAAAUAUGCAUUUAAUGUCCUUCUCUGGCCGUAAUUUGCCCUGUGAGGGGGGGAGAAGAAAUAAUUAUUUUUUGUUUCACUUGAUUAUUUCCAUUCUUAUUUCAAUUUAGACUUUUCUCUGUCAAUUUCUCUUAGUACCUUUUUUUGAUUCCUGGGUGUUCCUGCCAGCCUGAUUUGAGUUGCAUGUGAAGGCUGUUUUAUUGGAUCAUGCAUUAAGUGAAGAUAAACCAAUAACUAUGGUUUCUGUGGACCUGCAACGUAAAAAUCCAGCUUUCAUAUCUAAACAGAAACAUCUCAGUCUGAAAAAGUGGCUAGUGUAUGUUAUGUUUGUUAAGGUUCAUAAGAGAUAGGAAAUGUAAAAAAACAAAUAUAGAUUUUUUUGGGUUUUGUGUUGUUGUUGUUUUUUUUUUUUUUUUUUUUUUUUAGUGUAUGAGAGGUGCAUUGCUUCAGUAACCAGUAUAUCUCUCGGUAUCAUCAUAUUCAUACAGUAUCCUGGAGGAUUUAGGAAAAUAAGUAGUUCAAAUAAUUUUAUUUACUGAAGGAUAAACAAACAUUGUAAAUGGCAUACUUAUUGGAAACUAACUGAUUUUUUUUUAUUCUUCUAUUAAUUACUACUGUUUUUUCUAGGAUUUGUUUUAAUCAAAAAGUCAUUAUAAGUAUCUUGAAAAAUGCAUUUAUAAGAAGGUAAAGUGUCUCUGAUUAAUUAUCACAUUUCUCUUCAUAGUACAUUGUGGUUUUUGAGCGUCUCAUGAUAAUGAAAAGACACAUUCAAAUACUGUAUCUAACUAUUAAUUUUUCUGCCUAUAGAAAUUUAUCUGUGUCAGUGUCUUUAAAUGCCGGAGGAAAAUAAUGAUUAAAAAAACCCUUCCUAUGUA